GAUGAACGCUAGCUACAGGCUUAACACAUGCAAGUCGAGGGGCAGCAUAUUGGUAGCUUGCUACCAACGAUGGCGGCCGGCGCACGGGUGAGUAACGCGUAUCCAACCUUCCCCAUAGUAGGGCAUAGCCCGUAGAAAUGCGAAUUAAUACCCUAUGUUUUCCGAAGAUGACAUCUGAUUUGGAACAAAGGUUCACCGCUAUGGGAUGGGGAUGCGUCUGAUUAGGUAGUCGGCGGGGUAACGGCCCACCGAGCCGACGAUCAGUAGGGGUUCUGAGAGGAAGGUCCCCCACAUUGGAACUGAGACACGGUCCAAACUCCUACGGGAGGCAGCAGUGAGGAAUAUUGGUCAAUGGGCGCGAGCCUGAACCAGCCAAGUAGCGUGCAGGAUGACGGCCCUAUGGGUUGUAAACUGCUUUUAUACAGGGAUAAAGUCGGGGACGUGUUCCCCGUUUGCAGGUACUGUAUGAAUAAGGACCGGCUAAUUCCGUGCCAGCAGCCGCCGUAAUAC
rnacentral:rRNA from 1 species